GAGGCAUGCAGCUUCAUUGCGCUAAUGCAACAGAUUCCGCGUUAUAUACUCGUGGAACUUCGUCGGACUGCUCUUUGGGACCAACAACACCUUGACGUCACACCAUUAUUGGAUUGACCAUCACCAAUAAGUCGGAUCGCACGCAAUGGUGAUUUGCUUUUCUCCGCAAUUCUUUUCCCAAGAAACUUGUUGUAUUUAAUCUUCGGUCAAAGGACAGAAAAAGCCCCUGUCCAAAAACAUUGGCAACUGCCACAGUUAAUCGAAAUUAAUUUUAGUUGUAUAUUUGUAAUAAGGUAUUCAGUUCUAAUUUUAUAAUAUAAAAACUGUUUAAAAUCACAA